CCCUGGGCUAGCUGACUUGAAUCCUCGCAACUUCUGUGAAUUGGAUAAGCUCUACCUAGGUGUAGAAGUCGAAUCGUUAAUAGAUCAGCUCAUGAAACAGGGAAAACUAAAAAAAGAGGAACUGCAUCAAUUUCGUUUGAAUAUGAUGAAUUUCUACAUAAGUUGCUGCAAUCAGAUUAUGAAGCGGAUUGACCUGACAGACGACACACUAAAUAACUUGGCAAUUUUGGAUCCGGACAACAUACGAGCGAAAGCUCAUCCGUCGAUUUUUCCCCUGAUCAAACGUUUUCCCAACAUCACGAAGGAAGUGGGCCAAAAAAUCGACGAUGAAUUCCGUGAAUUAAGAUAUUCAUUAUCGGAUAUACCAGAAAAUCUUGAUGGCGAAGAGUUUUGGAGCAAAGUGCUAUCUUUACGACGUUGCAGCGGUGAGUGGGCCUUUCCUUGUUUAAGGCAAUUCGUUCCAGCAAUAUUGGCUUUACCGCACUCCUCUGCUGCUGUGGAGCGAAUUUUUUCCCUGUAUAACAUUAACAAAACGAAAGCCCGAAACCGAACAGCAACGUCAACGAUGAAAGGGAUUCUAUCGGCCAAGGAGUAUGUGAGAUCGCAUAAAACCCAAAAUGGUAUUGUCGACGUAACAUCUAAUGCGCGAAAACUGUUCACUAGCGACAUGUACAACAGUAAACAAUAAUAUUCAAUUUCGAUCUGCUUUGCCGACGGCUAUUUACUGUUCUUUUGAUUCCACUGGACUGUAGGGUGUUAGUCCAACAAAACGUAUCUUUUAUCAUUUUGUCUAUGUUUCAUGAUACCACAUAUUUUAUACCAACUAAUUAGUAUAACGUUACUAUGCACAGGUAUA